rnacentral:lncRNA from 1 species
CACGCGCGGCGGGGGCGCGCGCGCGCGAUCCGCGACGUGGCGAUGCUGCGGGCGGUGGCGCUGCUGGCGCUGCUGGCGGCGGCGGCGGGGGCCGAGCUGCGGGACCUGGCCCGGGGCAAGGUGGAGGUGGGUGCCGCGGGGUCGGUGCCGGUGAUGGUGGUGAUGGUGCCGGUGAUGGUGACGGGCUGUGCUGUGCUUUUUCUCCCCGCAGACGUGCGGCGGGUGACGGCUGAACCGGCUGCGGGAGGUGAAAGCCUUCGUCACCCAGGACAUCCCCCUCUAGUACCCGAUGGGGGCUGCCGGGGGCUGCGAGGCACGGGGGGGGCUGUGUUGGGGAGGGGGGGGGCGGAAUGGGGUGGGGAUGGGACAGGGAUGGGAUGGGGAUGGGGACGGGGAUGGGAACAGGAUGGGGACAGGGACAGGAUGGGGAUGGGACAGGGACAGGAUGGGGACGGGAAUGGGAACGGGAUGGGGAUGGGACAGGGACAGGAUGGGGAUGGGAUGGGGUUGGACUGGGGAUGGGUAAGGAUAGGGAUGGAAUCGGGAUGGGAUGGGGACAGGACAGGGACAAGAUGGAGACGGAUGGGAUGGAAUGGGGAACAGCAGGAUGGGACGGGAGGGGAUGGGAUGGGAUGGGACGGGACGGGAUGUGGACGGGGUGUGGAUAAGAUGUGGAAGGGCAGGGGAUGGAAUGGGCUGGGACAGGACGGGAUGUGGGGCUGCAGCAGGACGGGAUACAGGGCAGAACAGGACAUGGGAUGGGAUGGGAACAGGACAGAGCACGGGAUGGGGUGAUGGGACAGGAUGGGGGCUGCGUAGUCCUGCUUGGUGCUGCCCGCUCCUUAACACGCUUGCAAGCCAUAACCUGGAGAUGAAGCACCUGCCUGGCGCCGACCCCGAGCUUGUACUCCUCAACCACAGAUACGAGGAGCUGGAGGUGAGUGCAGCCACCAGAGCCCCUGUGUGCCGGUGCAGGGCACCUGGGCUGGGUCUGAAGAGGCUGCAAUCCCUGUCUCUGUGCAGAGAAUCCCCCUGAGUGACAUGACCCGGGAGGAGAUCAACCAGCUGGUGCAGAAGCUGGGCUUCUACCGCAAGGAGACACCCGAUGCCCCUGUUCCUGAGGAGUUUCGGUUUGCCCCUGCUAAGCCUCUGCCCACCCUGCAGCCCCCCAAAGCUCCUGCAGCUGACAGCGAGACCCCACCUGAACGCGACGACAAAGAACAUCCAGACCUCUAGUGAGCGGUGCAAAGAGAAGUGGCAGAAGGUGCUGCAGCCUCAGUGGGUGAGGAUGAGGGUGUUAGAGCAGCUGCCUCUGCCUGUGCAGCUGGGAACAGAUCCAUGGGGUGACAAGGGUUUGACCACGAUGCAGGGAGAUCUUUCCAGCUCCCCCCACUGUUGCUCAGUGUUCAUAGCCUCUUCCCCGGGGAUGCCCUGAGCAGUUCUAGACUUGAGCAGAGGCUGCCAGUGCACCGAGGACAUCCGAGUGAGCCAUAGCUGCCUGUUAUUGCCUUCCCCCACCCCAGCCAUUCUGACACGGCCAACCUGAAGGAGCAGUAAUCUCAUUGUUCCUUUACCAUGCCCCGAGGUUUAGUCACCUCCUGGUGCUGGGCAGCGAUAUCCUACCUGCACAGGACAGGAUGAAACCCUCAGCAGAAAGCCCCAGGUGCUGAGAGUCGAUGUGCUGAGUCCUGGAGGUGGGAGAGCUGCCCCCUAGGAGGGUUCGGCUUCACACCACCAGCAGGGUUGCCUCAUAUUGAGCACACAGUAAAACUUUUGCUUACAAUCUGCUGCACCUUGUCAUCUUUCCAGGGUGGGCAUCAGUGGGGCAUGCCUGGAGGAGUCAAGGGUGCCUCAGAGCAGCUUGUAGAGGUGGAGGGGGGCCUGCAGGGUCACCCUGGGUGCACGGUCACCUCUGGUUGGUGAGCCCUCAACUGGGGUGGGACACGAAUGGUUCCUCUCAGCUCUGUAUUGUCCCUGUGCAGGAGGAGCUGUGCUCGCACAGAGGGGGCUCCAUGCAGGUGGGGCUGCAAACACCCCCAGGCAAAGGGAGGCAGCCUUGCACGCUGCAGGCAGGUUGCUCUAGGGGCUCCGUGCGGCCACGUUGCUUGGAGGGGAUGAUGGGGAGAAGGACUGGAGGCAGAGGCAUUGCCCUAUAGAAUAAACCUUUAUUGUCUGGCUGGUGUUGGUACACGUGUCAACGCAGGUGUAGACGGUGAUGAAGGGGUGAGUGGCACUGAGCACAACGUGCCCAGAGCUGGGGAGGAGCACGGGGGCUGCCUAGACCCUGGCCCUGGCCCCUCACGCCCUCCCUGCUCCCCUCCAGCUCCCCAGCACGUGGGUGCUGCAGGUCCCUGCCGUGGAAGUGCCCUGGGCACGUGAGUGCAGUGGGAAGCAGGGUGUCAGCAUGGGGCCAUCCCGGAGAGGUGGCACCAAGCAGGGACUGUGGUGGGCAGAGAGGCUGGCUUCCUUGCAGGGGGGGCCAGGAAAACCACUCUCGGGCUGCCUGGAGACCAAGGCGCUCUGCCUCAUGGAGGUACCAAAACCAGCAGUGCCCACCAGGGCCCCGGUUCUUGGAGGGGGGUCCGCGGGCUGAGCUGCGCUUACGUGGACCCACGCUGGCUCAGGGCCCGAGGGCACCACCAUGCCCCAGCCUCCCUGGGGAAACAGGGGCACUGCCCACCUACAAACAAUUCCUUUGAAAAUGAAUAACUUAAUACGCUAGAGCAUGGCGGGGGGGGUAGGGAGGAGGAGAACCAAGCUGGCUGCAGGGAGGGUGGCAUCCUGGGCAGCACCCGCCUGGCACUGUCCUGCCCUGCCCACGCCUUCAGCCGGGCAGAGGCCGACCGAGGAGCUCCAGCGAGGCCGAAGCAGGGGGUGACCCAAGUGAUGGAUCCCCCCCCCUCUUUUCCCCAGGACCAGCCCCGCAGCCUCUCCAGGCCCUCCCGCCAGCCUCUGGAGCGGAGCAGCAGCUCCUCCGCACACCAGCGUCCCUGCAGGGGAGGGGGCAGUGAGGUGUCGGGCAGCUGCAGGCCAGGGCAGGCUCUAGCACUCUUUCUGCCGCAUGCGCAACUCGUGGCGACGCAGGUGGUUGUAGAGGGACUGCACAUAGGUGAAGACGCACUUGGGGUCUGGCUUCUUCCCCAUGAUCAUCAUGUCUUCCACCUCCACCAGGGGCACGCAGUCUGCCAGCAUCCUGUGGAGACGCAGGCCUCAGCACGGCUGGGCGGGCUGCCCCUUCCUGCAGGGGACUGGGAUGGGGUCCGCCAGCGCUGGGUCCCUCUGUCCUCGGACUCACCCUGCCCUCCGUGCCCUUAUCCUACCCCUCCUGCUGCCUCCGAGGCCGGGCAGCCUGCAGGCACCACUCACCCCUGCUGUCUCCAGUGCUCCCCUACCACCCGCAUACACCCUGCCCCAGCUCCUGCCCUGCUCUCCGUGCCUGCAGUCACCCCCCCAGCCCCUGUGGGCACGCCUGGCUGCAGAGGAGCUGCUGGAGUGUCCCUGUCCCCCACUGCCCUUUGCUCCUGUCCCAUAGCCAAGGCCACAUCUGCUGCACCAAGGGCUGUGCUGGGCCCGUCCCCAGCUGCUGCCAGCCUCAUCGCUGCCCCUCUGCCAUGAGCAGCACCCCAGCCAGCCCCCAGCACCCUGCCCCUGCCAUCCCACAGCCCUCCCAGUGCCCGGUGCCACCCCAAAGCCCUGAACUGGGGCUCCCGUCCUGCCAGAUCCUCAGCCUCGGGGGCUGCUGGCACCACUGGGUCAGGUACGGAGGGGAGAGUAGGGUCAGCUCCCACCCCAUCCCACCCCAUCCCAGGCUUGUUGAGAGUUUAGGGGUGGCAGGGGGGUGCCCAGGAGCAGAGCAGAGCUCUUGCUGCCUGCCCAGCUCCCAGCACGCCUCCCAGCAGUCCCAGCUGGGCAGCAGUGCAGGCUGUGAUGGGACCCAAAAUAACAGCCCCGUGCUGAGGCCAGGGCUGGGGAGGAGGAGGCUGAAGCUCAGCCUAGGGCUGAGCAUGGAACACAGCCUCACUUGGGACCUCCGUGCAGUGAUCAGGGCUGGAGAUAAAAUGCUUCCAGGGUCCUUGCAGUGCCUACACAGGCCUGGCUUCGUGGCUGAGUGGUGGUGCAGGCUGAGCCAAGAAGGGGGCUCAUUGGGGCUGCUCCAACCCUACUGGGAGGAUCAGACAGCUUGGCUGACACCCUUCAGCAAAACCCUUCCCCCAGUCCUCUCCCCCCUGUGCCAAGCUGUAGAGUCCCACCUGGAUUUGCUGCAUGCUUCAGUACCCCCAGCACAGGACCUGGAGGGGGGGACUUGGGUCUGGCACGGGCACAGCACAUGAGCAGAACCACUGCUGGUGCCAGCCCUUGGGCAGGGAGGUAGGGGUGAAAGGAGCAGCGGGCUCGAGGAGAGAAAUCCCUUAGCUCCUAGGGCUCCUCACGAGCGCUGCAGCCAUGCUGGGGGGGUUUCAGGCCAGCCCAGCAGCUGUGUUGGGGACCUGCUUCUCUGCCUUGCUCCUUUGGUUAGCACUGCAGAGCUGGAACUCAAAAGGCCAGGGAAGCAGCGGGCCCUGAGCCCAGGACCUGGCUAGCACCAACCCCUCCACGUGAUCCAGCAGCAGCCCAGGGGGGGCCACGCUCAGGGCCUUGGAAAAAAAGCACCCGCCUGGUCACAGGAGGCCCCUGUUAUACCGCCAGCCCAACCGUGGGCCCAGUCCCAAGGGUGAUGGAAAAGCUAAGGCAGCACGGGGAGACAGUCUCUGUCCUUAUAAAGGCAUUGUUUGGGCCUCGGUGUGCUCGUGCAGUGCGCAGCCGGGGGAGAGGAGGCUCCAGCGCCAGCUGGGAUGCCCCUGAGAACAGGCACAAACAGUGCAAGAAGAGGCAGGACCGGAGCCUUGAGUCACACUUUCCAGGCUCCCCUCUCUUUCCCAUAUAAGAGCAGGCAGCACCUUGGCAAGGGGGAAGGGAGGGAGAGAACAUCCUCUGCCACGCCUGACCCCCACAUCAGCCUCCACCCGCCCAGGGCAGGCAGCCCUGAUUUUUGGGGGUGAGGAGGGCAGCAGCAAACGCAAGCGGUGGGGCUGGGGGGGGGAGGUUAGGGGGCGAUGGGUGCUCACCCCUCACCUGGG